rnacentral:rRNA from 1 species
CUGGCUCAGGAUGAACGCUGGCGGCACGCCUAACACAUGCAAGUCGAACGGAGUUAUGGGAGCUUGCUCCUAUAAACUUAGUGGCGGACGGGUGAGUAACACGUGAGCAACCUGCCUUUCAGAGAGGGAUAGCUUCUGGAAACGGAUGGUAAUACCUCAUAACAUACAGAAACGGCAUCGUUUCUAUAUCAAAGAUUUAUCGCUGAAAGAUGGGCUCGCGUCUGAUUAGCUGGUUGGUGAGGUAACGGCUCACCAAGGCAACGAUCAGUAGCCGGACUGAGAGGUUGAACGGCCACAUUGGGACUGAGACACGGCCCAGACUCCUACGGGAGGCAGCAGUGGGGAAUAUUGCACAAUGGGCGCAAGCCUGAAUGCAGCGAUGCCGCGUGAGGGAAGAAGGUUUUCGGAUUGUAAACCUCUGUCAUCGGGGACGAAAAUGACGGUACCCGAGAAGGAAGCUCCGGCUAACUACGUGCCAGCCGCUGC